rnacentral:rRNA from 1 species
UACGUAGGGGGCAAGCGUUGUCCGGAUUUAUUGGGCGUAAAGAGCGUGUAGGCGGCUAGGUAGGUCCAUUGUGAAAACUCGAGGCUCAACCUCGAGACGUCGGUGGAAACCAUCUAGCUAGAGUCCGGAAGAGGAGAGUGGAAUUCCCGGUGUAGCGGUGAAAUGCGCAGAUAUCGGGAGGAACACCCGUGGCGAAGGCGGCUCUCUGGGACGGUACUGACGCUGAGACGCGAAAGCGUGGGGAGCGAACAGGA